rnacentral:misc_RNA from 1 species
CUGCAGCUAAAUCAUCUCCACACCAUAUACAUACGGACGCACAAGCAACCCCGCACCCCCCUCCGAGUGAGAGGAACUCUCCCCUCCUCCUCUUUUCUGUGUUGUGUUUGUUCUCAUUUUGCUGUUCUUACCACACCCCACACCACCACCACCACUCUCCUACGUGCCUCCAUCCACGCGCUCACGCUCGGCAACCCUCUUGUUAUCGCCCCCUCCCUCCCUCCCCCCUCCCCCCAUUCCGUCCCCUCUCUCUGUUAUUUGUGUGCGAUCGCGCGUUCCCGCAUCGGUGUCUGUCUCCCCCCCCCCUCUCCAACUGACCCCUCUCACAGUGGCGGUGAUCUGUACCCAUACGCACACGUGCAUGUGUUCACCACCACCACCUCUCUCUCACUCCUUUCUUCUUUCUCCCUCCGCUCAUCGCAGCCAACCGUUUGCUGUUCGCCACUGCCGUGCACACACGCGUACACGCUUAAGCGCAUCAACAUCAGCACAGCAGCAGCAGUCGCACAAAAAGCGGCGGGAUAGCCAAGGGGAAGGAAAGACCGCAGUGAAGAGUAGAAACGAAAAAGGCGAAGACGUUGUGCAGAACUCGAGCAGUGCUCGCCAUCGCUGCCUGCGGCAGAGAGCGACGCGACGAAAAGGAGAUCACGCUUGUGUGCUGCUGCUGUUUUCUGUUGAUGCCUGUGCUUGUUCGUGUGUGUCUAUAGCCCCCUGACACGCACACGCAUACACAUACAUACGCACCUCACUUCACCCCGUCUCCCCGUAGUCCCUCACACACGCGUAUACACACACAUACACAGUUCAUCAUCGACUUACCCACCACGAACAGCACCACUCAGUGCUGUGUGUGUGACCUCUUCACCCUUCAUCUCCGACGCACCCCACCCACCUCCUUUUCGUUUCGUGUUGCUCCAGUGGUGGCGGUGGUGGGGUGUCCGCUCAAAAUCGCCAACCGUCCAACAUACAUUCACGCAUACGCACCGACACACACACACGCACGCACUCAUAUCAAGUGAAAAGGGUGGAGGGACGUGUAAGACCCAAAAACCAAGAGGAGGGACACACUCGUGUGGGUCAGUGUGUGUGUGUGUGUGUGUGUGCCUCUCUCCGUGUGUGUGUAUGCCUACGCAUCCGCGCACGUGGGCCGCGUCCUGAAUCCGCAGCAUCUGAUACGUCGCGAGGCGGUGCAUCAGCCACAGCCACCCGCCUUGUUUCCGCCCCCUUCUCCGCAAUGCUCCAGCACGAUCUGACGAGUCCCCUCAAGCGUAACCGCGGCUCCAGUACGGGCAGUGAGGAAGACAAUGCGCACGCGCAGCAGCCGCUGCACCAUCACAGCCCCUGCGACGGGCACGGCAGCGGUGCUGAAGGCAACACCACGACUACCGUGAUGGUGCAGACGCUCUACGUAGACCCCACUCUCAGCAGUGCGGCAGUGACCAGCCACAGUUCCUACUACGCGACACCGGUGUCGCAGGGCGGCGGCAAUGACGACGAGGGGCAGGCACACCGGCUGUGCGAGCGUGCCGGUGGCCCGGCGACGCACGCCUCGGCACAUUCCGUGGCGCUCACGCAAAGCUCCUCCUGCACAUGUCGAUCACGUGCGAGCAGCCAGAGCAACUGGCCCACCCCACCUCCGCCCCUGCCACAUGCGGCGCCGUCCUCGUCGUCGUCGGUCUCGUCCUCCUACAGCGACGAGGAUGUGGAGGACGAGACGAACGAAAAGGACCCGCGCAACUACGCCGAGGAUGUGACGAAGAAGUACCCAAUAUUCACGGAGGCCUACGCGGAGAAGUUCCGCCGCGACGCGACGCCGUUCAUGCGCGUGGUCGAGGCCGCCUCGGCGAUGUCGCGGACCUCCUCACCGACGGGUAGCGUCAGCGGCCCCCCGCAACAAGAGAAGCAGUUUGUGCUCUACGACACAUACCUGUACGAGCGCACGCUCGGCAAAGGGACCUUCUCGAAGGUGGUGCUCGGCAUCGCACCGCCGUCUUCGCCGGCGCUGGCCACUCAAAUCUCCGGUGACGUCCCGGCGCGGGUGGCGCUGAAGGUGUUCCGCGACAAGGAGGAGUACAUCGAGGCGUGCUGGGACGAGUUCACCAUCCUCAACUCCAUCUGCGUCGACCCACCCUCGGUAGCGCCGGAGGAAGUCGCAGCGGCGGCGGCGGCGGGGCACCGUCAGGGCACGACGACCUCAUCGCCGUACAUCUCCGUCCGCUCCGUUGUCAUGUUCACCGCCUCCACGUGCGGUAUCAAACAGCAGUACUUUGCUGAUCAAGGCCGCUUCCUCGUGCCCAUGGGGUACGUUGCGCAUCCGGUGCACCCGGCCAUCGUCUUUCCUGUGAUGGGCCCGACACUUCUGAACGUGCUGAACACCAUCCGGCAGAAGAGCAAGGAGGUGACACGCGCGUCUCGGCACAAGCGGCUGCGCACUGAGGCGCAGUCGGGGAAGAGCACCUGCAGCGACGGCGCCUUCUCCACGAUGCCACGACAGUUUUCUGCAACGGCAGUGACCGUGGACAUGGGCGCCAGCGGGGACGCACAGCAGCCAUUGCCGCCACUCACACAGGAGAAACCGCAGCAGCAGCAGCAGCGGCGGCGGCGUGUGUACUACCGGGGCCUCCCUCUCCCGCUCCUCAAGGCGGUGCUGUAUCAGGUGCUGACCUUCCUGCAGUUUAUCCACUGCCGCGGCGUCGUGCACACAGACCUGAAGCCGGAAAAUGUUCUCUUCGAGUCCUCCAAGGUGCUCUCCGUCGACGUCGGCAUCUACUAUACCCACUACCUCCGCCGCAACAGCGACACCGUUGCCAAACGCAUGCCCUCCGCCGCCGAGACCAAAAAGCGGUCGAAUGACGACUGCAAGCUCCACAGCUCCUCCCUCGAGCAGCGGGCACACCGGCAUGAGCAGAUGGCCUUCACCCUCUCCUCGCCUCCACCGUCAUCGAACCGCAGCGUCGCCGCCGUCACGGGCGCAGCGGCGGAGGGGGAGGGGCUCAAAGCUGGUCCGAUGGAAGCGGCGCGUUCGGCGGGCGAAGGGGCGGCGUCGAUGUCGUCGACGGGCCUCAGCAUCGUGCCCGUCGACGUGACCCCGUCCCAAAAGGGCGACUUGACACUGGCGCACUACGUGAGGGUGCCAAUGCCGGUGAUGAACAGCGUGCGUGUCGUCGACCUCGGCGCAGCGCAGUUUCUCUCCACCUUCCGCGACCACAGCCUUAUCCCAGGCUACGCGCACGUUCCGGUCAGCUACAACCCGAUCCAGACCUCCCACUAUCGCAGCCCUGAGGUACUGCUGGGCUUUGGCUGGAACACCUCGGCGGACAUCUUCUCCCUGGGAUGCAUGAUCCCGGAGCUGCUCACAGGCGAGUGUCUGUUCAUGCCGAACCACACGAUGGAGCACCUGGCCAUGAUGCAGCACGUCAUCGGAACCUUUCACGACAAGGACGGCAUCCGCAGCGGGACGGCGACAAACCUGCGCAGUGUCUUCGCAUGCGACAUGCGCACCUUCCGCCACUAUUUCACCCUCCAGCCGAAUAACCGAGACUUUGACCUCAAGUGGCCUGUAUCGAAAAGCAUGGUGCAUGAGCAGGAGAAGCAGCAGCGCUUCGCGUCAGCGGCAAGCGGCAAGACAGAGGAUGAUGGACUGGAGCCGCUCGAGGAGACGCUUCCGGGGGACAUCGACUACGUGACUCGCAUGCCAACUCUUGAUGAUAUCCUCGCCCCGCUGCCAGACCUGCUGGACCUGACGCGGCGCAUGCUUUGCUACCACCCAUUCAAGCGCAUCACAGCAGAGGAGGCCAUGCAGCAUCCCUUCUUCCGGAACAUUUAGAGCCCACGUCCCCCGCGCGUUUAUCUAUGUCGGUGCGUCGUGCGUCACCACUGUUAGAAGCUCUUCGCCUUCGUUGGCUGCGGUCCCCCUCUCGCUCGCCCUCGCUCGGCAUGCGUUCCCAAAGCGUGAGCGCGUGUGCGUGUGUGCGUGUGUGCGUGGCUUCCAUGCGCCUGUGUUCUUCGUGAUGGCCGAAAGAGCGACACGCAUGCUGUAAUGGAAAGGCAAGGAUGCACAACCGUCGGCGUAUUCUCGUAUAUGUAUGUAGAAAGGUGUGUGUGUGUGUGUGUGUGGGCUGUGUCGCUCAACACCUCCCCCACCCCAUUCCCACGACCACCACCAUCACCACUGCUGCAUCUCUCUGCCCCCACCCCACCCCACCCCCACACGCACACACCUCUCUCUGUCGCCGCAAAGUGCGUCUGUGGUCUGCUCGAUUCAGCCCGCCAUGUGAAUGUGGGGAACGCGCGAGUUUUGGUGGCUGUCAAGCCUGUUGCUUGUUUGCUCGCCUGUUGCAGAGAAGGGCUUCACUGCUUUGGCGGCGCUAUGUGGCCCAGCUGAACCAUCUGUUCCUUCUCGGAGCAAGAGCCCAUGGUGCAACGGCAUGCGUGCGUGUGCGCAGAUGUUUGGUUGUGUGUCUGCGUCGCCGCUCAGGUGUGGCGCAGUAGCGGAAAGGGCGACUGAAGAGGUCUUCGGCUGAGUGGUGAGAGGCGUGGAAAGGGAAAGGCCGGCAGAGCGAAUGCGGUAGACACUCACUCUCAAGCACACACGCACACGUGUGCUGGUGGUGGUAGUGUGUGUGUGUGGGGGGGGGAAGGGGGGUACGAGUGCCAUGUCGCUUCUUCUUACCCCGUAACUGCCGUUUGUCGCUCUUCUCUUUGCGGUGAUGUUGCACGAAUCUCUCUCUCUCCAUGCUCUCCUUUGGCUCCACAGUAGCGCACACGCAUCAAGCAAGCGCACCUGAACACACCACGAUGACGGCGCUGGCCGCUCUCCACCCAUCGUGAAGGGAAGGGUAGGGAAGACGACGCAAACGUGUCCGUCUUUGUUUCACCGCGUCGUGUCGUCACGCAGCGAAGCUGCACGUCGACAACACACAUACAUAUAUAUAAGAAGGCAUGGGACAUGCACGCAACUCUCGCAAGUAUAAUGGGGCCCACGUACGCGGCGUCGUCAGUGUUGUUUGCCUUUUGUGUGUGUGUGUGUGUGCGUCGGGCACUGCUCUAGC